GCAGAACGACCCGAGAACUCGUGAAAACAACUAUGUUGGGGACGGGGAGGGGCCUCGGCUCCCGACCGAAACCUUCGCCGCUCCACGGCCUCGGCUGUGGUUCGGCACAAAACAAAAACCCGGCGCAAUAGGCGUCAAGGAAAUCUUAGCGGAAACAAGGCGGAACCCUGCUUGCGGGGUGAAGCCGCGAAUCCGAUAUUUGAACGACUCUCGGCAACGGAUAUCUCGGCUCUUGCAUCGAUGAAGAACGUAGCGAAAUGCGAUACUUGGUGUGAAUUGCAGAAUCCCGUGAACCAUCGAGUCUUUGAACGCAAGUUGCGCCCCGAGACCUUCUGGUCGAGGGCACGUCUGCCUGGGCGUCACGCACAGCGUCGCCCCCAACCACACCCGUUGUGGAAGGGGAGCGGAGAUUGGCCCCCCGAGCCCUACCGGGCACGGUCGGCACAAAUGCAUGUCCCUCGCAGCGUUCGCUGCGGUCAAGUGGUGGCUUUAAAUACCAUUUCGGUGACCGGACGGCGGACGCUAUCGAGUAGGGACGUAAUCGACCCGCAGAGGCCGUUUCGACGGCGUUUCACCC
rnacentral:rRNA from 1 species